AUUAAGAUUUUAUUAGACCAUUUCCUGAGAAGUUUGGGAGUCAGUGUUCUAUCAGGUGAUGCCAAUUAGCUCCGGGUCAAAGCUAAAAGGAUGUGACCCCUGCCAACUGCACAGGGCCGCCCUGGGCUCUUCCAUUGUGAAUGCUGAGUAGUGACUUCCAAGGUAACCUGGCCUUGCCACUAUUGUUUCCACUCUGGUGCUGGGAAAGCACCCUGUUACCUCCCGGCAGAGCUGCAACGACAGAACCGGGAAUUCUCCGUAGAAGCCAUAGAUACGGUUGCAUUCCCGGGCGGUAACGUCCAGCGAGUGUCCUCUUCCCCGCUAGGACCUUUUCCCGUCGGGUCGCCCACAGCACCUCCUCCGGGCGUGGAGGAGGAGGAGAAGCACGCGGGACUCCUUCCUAUUUAAAGGUCGCCAGGUCCCUCUGAGGGACCUGGGUCAACGACGCGUCCCUUGGCGCCACGGUUGGGGACAGACUCUGAGAACGGUUGGGCCGCUAGUUGCGGGGCCCCCGCCGUUCUCGGACACUUUUCCCGGGUGGACCCCAAGGCGACGGCGCACUUGUCACCGUGGGUGACCGAGAGGGGACCGCAGGGGGCGGGCCCCGCGGGGCAGGUGGGCGCGGCCGGCGCUGCCCGCCGCAGCAAGUGGUUGGGCCGUGCGCAGUCCGUCCUGCGCGGCGCCGGCGCGGGUGCCCGGUGCGCGGCGCCCUCCGCUCCGCUGCGCCGCCCGCCCGCCGCGCGCCCAUGUCUCUGCCGGUGGUGCUCCCGGGCUCCUGCUGCCCGGUGGCGGGGCUGUCGGGCGGACCCCAGGCUGGGGGUCCUGGCGCCGCCGCCGCCGCCGCUCAGGAGCCGCCGCUGCCCCCACUGCGGCCGCGCUGGCCCCGGGGCGCUCUCCAGCCUCCAGCCCGUCCCCGCUGCGCCCCCGCCGCCGUGCUGGCCCCGCCGCCCGCGCUCGCGUCCCGCCGCCCCGCCGCGCCGGGCUCCGCGCUGCUACCGGCGCGCCCGCUGCUGUCGCUCGGGCUCCUGCAGCUGAUCCUGGGCUGCUGCAUGGUGGCGCUCAGCUUCGGGGCGCUGUCGCUGAGUAGCUCGCCGCAGGUGAAGAACUCGUGCCCAUUCUGGGCAGGCUCCUCGGUGAUACUCUCUGGAAUCAUUGGACUGACAACUUGGAAAAGGCCCAUGAUACUGCUGGUAAAUCUUUUUGUGCUGCUCUCCGUGGUUUGCAUCCUCUUAAAUCUCGCAGGGUUCAUCCUAGGCUGUCAAGGAGCCCAGUUUGUGUCCAGCGUGCCCAGGUGUGAUCUGGUGGACUUAGGUGAAGGCAAGAUCUGCUUCUGUUGUGAAGAAUUUCAACCAGCCAAAUGCACAGACAAAGAAAAUGCCUUGAAACUCUUCCCGGUCCAGCCUUGUAGCGCUGUACACCUCCUGCUUAAGAAAGUCCUGUUUGCCCUGUGUGCCUUGAAUGCCCUGACCACCACGGUGUGUUUGGUGGCUGCUGCCCUGCGCUACCUCCAGAUCUUCGCCAGCAGAAGGCCGUGCAUUGACGAAUCCCAGAUCUCUGCAGAGGAAGUGGAAGAGCCCGGGCGGAUUCCGGACCCAGAUGACUUUGUGCCGCCAGUGCCUCCUCCUUCUUACUUUGCCACGUUUUACUCCUGCACACCUCGGAUGAACCGCAGGAUGGUUGGUUCUGAUGUCAUCCCACUGCCCCAUAUCUAUGGAGCACGAAUCAAGGGUGUGGAAGUGUUCUGUCCUCUGGACCCCCCACCUCCAUAUGAAGCUGUAGUGAGCCAGGCUGACCAGGAACAGGAGUCUUCAUUCCAAAUGCCAGAAGGACCAGAAACUGCGGCGAGCCCAGUGGAGCCAGUCUGCACACAGAUAACUCGAGGUGGGGUCCUUACUAACACGCCUGCUGAAGAAAACACGUCUGGAUCAACUCCUCUUUCCAACGUGGUUCAGCCUCCAAGAAGCCGGAGAGCUCUCCCACUUCUGAGGACAAGAUCAAAGAGCGACCCUAUGCUUCACCAUUCUGAGGAGAGAGUGAGUGUCAUUUGUCACAGCUCUGGACUGACCUUAUGGAAGCCACAGAGAACACUUCUCUUGUCCCUGCAGCAGCUUUCAGGUGGGGAGGAAGUCCUGCCUCCUGAGACUAGCUGUGUACCUCUGCAAAGCAGGCUUGGCAGCUUGGGCUGUAGUUCAAAGACCCACCUUCACUGUGGACAUCCUGUAUCCUACCUGGCAAGUUGAGUCUUCGAGCUGGCCCUGUGCCAGCUUCCAGGAGCAUGUAGCUGUUUGCACAGCAAAGGGAGGCUGGACCCCCUUUGUAUUCUUCAGUCCUGUGGAAGAGAGGACAUUUACCUGUUGGCUUGUUUCACUGGGGAAGGCACUGAGUUACUUUCAGUGAGCAAGUGUAAACUUCGCUCUGUCUUCGCACGGAGUUACACUGUGUUUCUGGAAGACUUGUUGUCUAUAAUGUACACAUGUGAAACUGGAAGGACAGCUCCUAACAUCCUGGUUCAGAACUCCUGUCUACCUUCUUCCAGAGGAAAAGGAAACCUUCCCUUCUGCCUCUCCCUCCACCCUGUGCUUCCUGCUUCCUUGAAUAGCUAAAUCCAUACUUAUGAGGCCUUUACAAAUUUAAGUUGACAGCUGUGUGCACUGAAGGCUGAUGGUGGCUUAUGGACACAUGGAGAUCAGACCUGAGGAUUAACUUCUCCACCCACUUCAUGCCACCCCAGUGCUCAGCUGCGAAGCUGCGACACAGACGGAAAGGAGGCUAGAUCUGGCUACAGUGACUCUGAGGAGAGGCGCGAGACCACGGGCAUCAAGAUGCAGGCCCCACUCUCUGAUAGAUUACAGGUCUUACAU